ACUGGGACUAGCCUGGGUGGAUCGGCGUCACCUGUGAUCUGAAACCGUCGGCAUGCAGAGGGCGAAGUUUGAGGAAGGGUGACUUAGGGCAUCCUGAAGCUUUCUAUUUCCUGACUGAGAAGCUCUGUCCUGUGAGGUCGGUGGCAAGUUAUCAAAUCUCUGUAGAGAGAGGAGACCUUUUGAUGUGGAAACCGGUUCAGGCCCGGAAGGGAGCAGACUUACCGCAUACACUCGGCGCCCAUGGGGUUGCGGGGUGGAGAAAGGAAUCUGAAAAUAGGGUUGUACCGGUUAUUCGACCGAUAACGUGUCCCACC
rnacentral:SRP_RNA from 1 species